rnacentral:rRNA from 1 species
CCUACGGGCGGCAGCAGUAGGGAAUCUUCCACAAUGGGCGAAAGCCUGAUGGAGCAACGCCGCGUGGGUGAAGAAGGUCUUCGGAUCGUUAAACCCUUUUUUUAGAGAAGAAAGUGCGUGAGAGUAACUGUUCCCGUUUCGACGGUAUCUAACCAGAAAGCCACGGCUAACUACGUGCCAGCAGCCGCGGUAAUACGUAGGAGGCAUGCGUUAUCCGGAUUUAUUGGGCGUAAAGGGAACGCAGGCGGUCUUUUAAGUCUGAUGUGAAAGCCUUCGGCUUAACCGGAGUAGUGCAUUGGAAACUGGGAGACUUGAGAGCAGAAGAGGAGAGUGGAAGUGCAUGUGUAGCGGUGAAAUGCGUAGAUAUAUGGAAGAACACCAGUGGCGAAAGCAGCUCUCUGGUCUGUAACUGACGCUGAGGUUCGAAAGCGUGGGUAGCAAACAGGAUUAGAUACCCCAGUAGUC